GUCUUUAAUACUUCUCUAAACAUGCUAAGUUAUACCUUUCAAUAAAUCAUAUCGAUGAAAGAACGAGAUUUACAUUGAUAGACGCCAUGUUGACAUGACUAACCGAGCCGGACUGGUGUAGAGUUUUGACCAUAUUUGGAUACGGAUUGCCAUAUUUGAAUAUCCUUGCUUGCUCUGAUUGGCUGAUUCAACAGUUCGAAUUUAGGCGGACUUUUCAUUCAGUUAUUGCAGUCGUUCUUUGUGGGUAAAGCAUGUAUGGUUCAUGGAUAAUUGUGCUUUUAAAUAGCCUAAAAUCCCCUGAGAAAAACGGGGAACAACGAACUAAUAUGUGAUACUUCAUAACCUGAGGGUAAUCUGGUAUAGAUCAACGAAUUUCCAAGAGAUUUCGCUGAGGUCUAACCUCCUGAAAACCUAACCUAACUGAUGAUGAAGUGCUGUAUUUAUAAAUCAUUAACACGAGAUGUCAAUAUUGCCUUGUAGUUUAUAGAAAAUGUGGUGUAAUUAAAGCUUAUUU